rnacentral:rRNA from 1 species
UGAGGAAUAUUGGACAAUGGGCGCAAGCCUGAUCCAGCCAUGCCGCGUGUGUGAAGAAGGUCUUCGGAUUGUAAAGCACUUUAAGUUGGGAGGAAGGGUUGUAGAUUAAUACUCUGCAAUUUUGACGUUACCGACAGAAUAAGCACCGGCUAACUCUGUGCCAGCAGCCGCGGUAAUACAGAGGGUGCAAGCGUUAAUCGGAAUUACUGGGCGUAAAGCGCGCGUAGGUGGUUUGUUAAGUUGGAUGUGAAAUCCCCGGGCUCAACCUGGGAACUGCAUUCAAAACUGACAAGCUAGAGUAUGGUAGAGGGUGGUGGAAUUUCCUGUGUAGCGGUGAAAUGCGUAGAUAUAGGAAGGAACACCAGUGGCGAAGGCGACCACCUGGACUGAUACUGACACUGAGGUGCGAAAGCGUGGGGAGCAAACAGGAUUAGAUACCCCCGUAGUCCCUGAGCGGGCUGGCAAGGCGCAU